GUACACGCUGUGACUAGCAUAUCAAUAAGCGGAGGAAAAGAAACUAACAAGGAUUCCCCUAGUAACGGCGAGUGAAGCGGGAAGAGCUCAAAUUUGAAAUCUUAAAGGGUUUCCCUUUACGAAUUGUAGUUUAAAGAAGUGUUUUCUGUUGAGGUUUUGGUAAAAGUUCUUUGGAAUAGGACAUCAUAGAGGGUGAGAAUCCCGUAUUUGACCUUUACUUUCAACUUUGUGAUACACUUUCAAAGAGUCGGAUUGUUUGGGAAUGCAGUCCAAAAUGGGUGGUAAAUUUCAUCUAAAGCUAAAUAUUGGCGAGAGACCGAUAGCGAACAAGUACCGUGAGGGAAAGAUGAAAAGAACUUUGAAAAGAGAGUUAAACAGUACGUGAAAUUGUCAAAAGGGAAGCGUUUGACACCAGUGUUGUUUUUCUGAAAAUCAAUUAAAGAACUGUUUAUGCUAAGUUGUUUAGACUUUAUCAGCUAACUGUUUAGUUUUGAGCUUUUCUUUAAUGCACUUUUCAGUUAACAAGUCAACAUCAAUUUCUUUUGCUGUAAAAAAGCUUGAGGAAGGUGGCUUGAGAUUCGUCUUAAGUGUUUAUAGCCUCUUGCCUAUGCAGUCGGAGAGAUUGAGGUCUGCAGCGUAGAUCCUUCGGGGCUAAAUUGCAUUUGUGCUAAGUUAUAGCAUUUUAUAGACAACUUGUUGACUAUGAUUUGUCUUGUAGCUUACUCGCUUAUGUUAUUUUACCUACGCUUAGGAUGUUGAAGAUGUAGCACAUCAU
rnacentral:rRNA from 1 species